UCUCUUAAGCUUUUUAGUUGGCAUGCAUUCAGAACUCCAAGUCCUAAAGAAAGUUACGCUGACCUUUGUAGAGAUGUUGUUGAGUACUGUGGGGGGUUGCCGGUAGCUCUUGAAAUCCUU
rnacentral:pre_miRNA from 1 species